rnacentral:rRNA from 1 species
CCCUUAGAUGUUCUGGGCGGCCCGCGCACUACAAUGGCGCUUUCAGCGAGUUCCUAUGUUGAAUUUUCCUGGGUAUUCUUGGAAGCGGCGUCGUGACUUGGGAUAGAUCCUUGUAAUUGUUGGUUUUGAACGAGGAAUUCCUUGUAAUCGCGGUUGAUCAGCUCGCGUUGAAUACGUCCCUGCCCUUUGUACACACCGCCCGUCGCUCCUACCGAUGAAUCGUCCGGUGAAGUUCACAGAGUGGCGGUUCGUGGAGUUGCUCGCGAAGUGAAAUGGACCUCACGAUUUAGAGGAAGGAGAAGUCGUAACA